CCGUGGCUUUCUCGUAACUCACUGCAACUUUGAACUCUCUGGGCUCAAGCGAUUCUCCCACCUCUGUCUUCUGAAUAGCCAGACCACAGACUUUAAAACCAAUACUUACUGACUUUGAAAAAUCCAGAUACUGCCAUGCAUUGGACGAUUCUGGCUUAACUAAAAGAAAGGCGGGAAAACGUGGGGGUUCCGGUCGGAGGAAGAGGACGCAUGAGGACGGGCUCACAGGUGACCGCCGUCCUGCUUGGACAGCGCAGGAGGAGGGAGCGCCACUGCCCAGGGCACAAGAAAUGGCAGCAGCAAGGCCCGGGGCCCUGGAGCUUCUGUCUGAAAGGCAGGGAAAGGAAAACGCAACUCAGCCCCUACCCCAGGCCUCCAGAUUCAGAGUCACCCUUACACGGGAAGGAGCAGAGGACUUCAGGGAGGCGGCGGUAUGUUCCCAUCCCUCCCCGCCUCGAUCCCUUCUCUGUUAUAUAAAAGAAUCACAAGUUCAUAGUUGUCGUUUUGGGAAAUA